GAAACGAUGGCUAAUACCGCAUAAUAGCUUCGGCUCAAAGAGGGGGACCUUCGGGCCUCUCGCGUCAGGAUAUGCCCAGGUGGGAUUAGCUAGUUGGUGAGGUAAUGGCUCACCAAGGCGACGAUCCCUAGCUGGUCUGAGAGGAUGAUCAGCCACACUGGAACUGAGACACGGUCCAGACUCCUACGGGAGGCAGCAGUGGGGAAUAUUGCACAAUGGGCGCAAGCCUGAUGCAGCCAUGCCGCGUGUAUGAAGAAGGCCUUCGGGUUGUAAAGUACUUUCAGCAGUGAGGAAGGUGGUAGUGUUAAUAGCACUAUCAUUUGACGUUAGCUGCAGAAGAAGCACCGGCUAACUCCGUGCCAGCAGCCGCGGUAAUACGGAGGGUGCGAGCGUUAAUCGGAAUUACUGGGCGUAAAGCGCAUGCAGGUGGUUUGUUAAGUCAGAUGUGAAAGCCCGGGGCUCAACCUCGGAAUAGCAUUUGAAACUGGCAGACUAGAGUACUGUAGAGGGGGGUAGAAUUUCAGGUGUAGCGGUGAAAUGCGUAGAGAUCUGAAGGAAUACCGGUGGCGAAGGCGGCCCCCUGGACAGAUACUGACACUCAGAUGCGAAAGCGUGGGGAGCAAACAGGAUUAGAUACCCUGGUAGUCCACGCCGUAAACGAUGUCUACUUGGAGGUUGUGGCCUUGAGCCGUGGCUUUCGGAGCUAACGCGUUAAGUAGACCGCCUGGGGAGUACGGUCGCAAGAUUAAAACUCAAAUGAAUUGACGGGGGCCCGCACAAGCGGUGGAGCAUGUGGUUUAAUUCGAUGCAACGCGAAGAACCUUACCUACUCUUGACAUCCUCAGAAGAGACUGGAGACAGUCUUGUGCCUUCGGGAACUGAGAGACAGGUGCUGCAUGGCUGUCGUCAGCUCGUGUUGUGAAAUGUUGGGUUAAGUCCCGCAACGAGCGCAACCCUUAUCCUUGUUUGCCAGCGAGUAAUGUCGGGAACUCCAGGGAGACUGCCGGUGAUAAACCGGAGGAAGGUGGGGACGACGUCAAGUCAUCAUGGCCCUUACGAGUAGGGCUACACACGUGCUACAAUGGCGCAUACAGAGGGCGGCCAACUUGCGAAAGUGAGCGAAUCCCAAAAAGUGCGUCGUAGUCCGGAUUGGAGUCUGCAACUCGACUCCAUGAAGUCGGAAUCGCUAGUAAUCGUAGAUCAGAAUGCUACGGUGAAUACGUUCCCGGGCCUUGUACACACCGCCCGUCACACCAUGGGAGUGGGCUGCAAAAGAAGUGGGUAGUUUAACCUUCGGGGGGACGCUCACCACUUUGUGGUUCAUGACUGGGGUGAAGUCGUAACAAGGUAGCGCUAGGGGAACCUGGCGCUGGAUCACCUCCUUAUACGA
rnacentral:rRNA from 1 species